rnacentral:rRNA from 1 species
GGGCUUUGCCUGCUAUCUCUUACCCAUGUCUUUUGAGUACUUACGUUUCCUCGGCGGGUCCGCCCGCCGAUUGGACAAAAUUAAACCCUUUGCAGUUGCAAUCAGCGUCUGAAAAACUUAAUAGUUACAACUUUCAACAACGGAUCUCUUGGUUCUGGCAUCGAUGAAGAACGCAGCGAAAUGCGAUAAGUAGUGUGAAUUGCAGAAUUCAGUGAAUCAUCGAAUCUUUGAACGCACAUUGCGCCCCUUGGUAUUCCAUGGGGCAUGCCUGUUCGAGCGUCAUUUGUACCUUCAAGCCUUGCUUGGUGUUGGGUGUUUGUCUCGCCUCUGCGUGUAGACUCGCCUCAAAACAAUUGGCAGCCGGCGUAUUGAUUUCGGAGCGCAGUACAUCUCGCGCUUUGCACUCAGAACGACGACGUCCAAAAGUACAUUUUUACACUCUUGACCUCGGAUCAGGUAGGGAUACCCGCUGAACUUAAGCAUAUCAAUAAGCGGAGGAAAA